AGUGAACGCUGGCGGUAGGCCUAACACAUGCAAGUCGAACGGCAGCACAGUAAGAGCUUGCUCUUACGGGUGGCGAGUGGCGGACGGGUGAGGAAUACAUCGGAAUCUACUUUUUCGUGGGGGAUAACGUAGGGAAACUUACGCUAAUACCGCAUACGACCUACGGGUGAAAGCAGGGGAUCUUCGGACCUUGCGCGAUUGAAUGAGCCGAUGUCGGAUUAGCUAGUUGGCGGGGUAAAGGCCCACCAAGGCGACGAUCCGUAGCUGGUCUGAGAGGAUGAUCAGCCACCCUGGAACUAAGACACGGUCCAAACCCCUACGGGAGGCACCAGUGGGAAAUUUUGGAAAAGGGGCGCAAGCCAGAUCCCGCCAAACCGCGUGGGGGAAAAAGACCUUCGGGUUGUAAAGCCCUUUUUUUGGGAAAAAAAAACAGCAGGUUAACACCCCGCUUUUUUGACGGAACCAAAAAAAAAAGCCCCGCCAAACUUCGG
rnacentral:rRNA from 1 species